rnacentral:rRNA from 1 species
CAGCAGCCGCGGUAAUACGUAGGUGGCAAGCGUUGUCCGGAUUUAUUGGGCGUAAAGCGCGCGCGGGUGGUUUAAUAAGUCUGAUGUGAAAGCCCACGGCUCAACCGUGGAGGGUCAUUGGAAACUGUUAAACUUGAGUGCAGGAGAGAAAAGUGGAAUUCCUAGUGUAGCGGUGAAAUGCGUAGAGAUUAGGAGGAACACCAGUGGCGAAGGCGGCUUUUUGGCCUGUAACUGACACUGAGGCGCGAAAGCGUGGGGAGCAAACAGGAUUAGAUACCCCUGUAGUCCCUGUCUCUUAUAC